rnacentral:rRNA from 1 species
UACGAAGGGGGCUAGCGUUGCUCGGAAUUACUGGGCGUAAAGGGCUCGUAGGCGGCCAACUAAGUCGGAUGUGAAAUCCCCAGGCUUAACCUGGGAAUUGCAUCCGAUACUGGAUGGCUUGAAUCCGGGAGAGGGAUGCGGAAUUCCAGGUGUAGCGGUGAAAUGCGUAGAUAUCGAGAGGAACACCUGCGGCGAAGGCGGGUUGCUGGGCCGACACUGACGCUGAUGCGCGAAAGCCAGGGGAGCGAACGGG